rnacentral:rRNA from 1 species
AUUUUCGGAUGACCGCUGGCGGCAGGCCUAACACAUGCAAGUCGAGCGGUAGCACAGAGAAGCUUGCUUCUUGGGUGACGAGCGGCGGACGGGUGAGUAACGCGUGGGAAUCUACCUGGUAGUGGGGGACAACAGUCGGAAACGACUGCUAAUACCGCAUACGCCCUUCGGGGGAAAGUGGGGGAUCUUCGGACCUCACGCUAUCAGAUGAGCCCGCGUCGGAUUAGCUUGUUGGUGAGGUAAAGGCUCACCAAGGCGAUGAUCCGUAGCUGGUCUGAGAGGAUGACCAGCCACACUGGGACUGAGACACGGCCCAGACUCCUACGGGAGGCAGCAGUGGGGAAUAUUGGACAAUGGGGGCAACCCUGAUCCAGCCAUGUCGCGUGUGUGAAGAAGGCCUUCGGGUUGUAAAGCACUUUCAGCUGUGAGGAAAGGUGAGUGGUUAAUACCCGCUUGCCUGUGACGUUAACAGCA